rnacentral:lncRNA from 1 species
GUGGCUUAAACAAUAAAAAUUUAUUUUCUCACAGUCUGGAACCCGAAAGUUCAAGAUCAAAGUGUUGGCAGGGCUGGCUUCCUCUGAGGCCUCUCUUCUUGGAUUGCACAUGGCCACUCUUUUGCUGCCUCUUCACAUGGGCUUUUCUCUGUGCCUCCAUGUCCCUUGUGUAUCUCUUCUGUGUACAAGUUUCUUCUUAUAAGGAGACCAGUCAUAUUGGAUUAAGGACCACUCUAAUGGCUUCAUUUUAACUUAACCACCUCUUUAAAAGCCCCACCUCCAAAUACUGUCACAUCCUGAGAUACUGGAGGCUAGGGCUUCAAUCUAUAAAUGUUGAGGAGAUACAAUUCAGCACAUGACAGCGCCCCUUUGCAGAUUCCUGCUCUCUGAUUGCCCUAUGAUUCACCACUAAGGAAGCCAGUGACCACAGGGUCCUCCACUUCUUAAAAGAAUGCCCACUCCAAACUAAGAGAGAAGUGGGAGAGUCUUGGGACCUGCACACCUUAGGCAUACCUGUGCUUGACUACAGAGUGAGCCUCUUUUCUGUUUCCUGUUUGCUAACAAAUCUCAUUCUCCUGAAGGACCCUGGUCAAUGUGAACAGGUCCCAUUUGCCAGUGGCUGUAGGUCAAUUUGCUGAAUGCCAGUUGUUUCCAUUUUACAUGUGUAGUCCCUGCCAGUCCCACCCCUUCUCUUCCUGUCCCUCUAAGUUUCUUCAGUUGUUUCCAAUCUCUCUUGUUUUUUUUCCACCAGUCCCUCUAAGUGCCUUUUAUC